rnacentral:lncRNA from 1 species
GACUGAGGUCAGGAAGAAAGAAAGAAAGAAAGGAAGAGGAGAGAAGAGAAGAGAAGAGAAGAGAAGAGAAGAGAAGAGUAGAGAAGAGAAGAGAAGAGAAGAGAAGAGGGAAAGGAAAGGAGGGAAGAAAAAGAACGAUCUUUGGAAACUAUGGAAUUGUGAAUGUAAAAGGGUCCCUAGAAACUGAGCAAGUCAAGUUUGUCAUUAAUGGGUCCAGUGAGCUCUCCAUCUCUGGAUGUAUGAAACCGGAUGACAAAGACCGAGGAAAAUCAUAACAAGGUACUGAGAGAUGGUGGGGGCAAACUUUUCCCAGAGGACCUGACCAACACAUCUGGACCAGUCUGCUCCUAGCGCUGACUGAGGGGAUACAUCCUCGAGCACGUACAAAGUGCUAAGAGAAUACAGAAAUCAGACGGAAGCAGGCUUGCACCAUGUGUAAGGAUUUCUGGUCAGGAAAAGCCUGGGUCUGUAGGAAUGCAGGAUCCUUCGGAAGAAAGCCUUGCUCCCUCUCUCUCUCCUUCCAUCCCUCCUGUUCUCUCUCCCUCCCUCUCCCUUCUUCCUUUUCUUUCUUUAUUCUUUCAUUUCUAUUUUAAACACAAGGCGAAAUGAU